rnacentral:tRNA from 1 species
GGGCCUAUAGCUCAGUUGGUAGAGCCCCCGGCUCAUAACCGGUCGGUCCCAGGUUCGAGUCCUGGUGGGCCCA